AUAUCAUUUUACGGAUAUAAAUUCUAAAGUUUUCUCAAAACUUCACACUUUGUUAAAACUUAUCCAGGACUUAUUGUAGAGAAUACUGGGUAUUGAGAUAUAUUGAACAUUUAUCAGGACCGAGGUCAAUAUGUCUAGCGGGUACAUUGACCUCCAAGAGGUCCGACAACCCGAUCAUAACCAUGAGUUAUCACCAAGUGCUCAGCAAAGAAAUGAUGAGACCUCUAAUACGAUUCAUGAAAGUGAGGUUGAACAGCAACUCCGCCAUAGAAUUAGAGAACUUGAGGGUAUAGUUACAUCACAGAAUGCCGAGCUACAGGAAAUAUAAGUAAUAAAGAGAAACAAAAGUGCUGUAGUAGAAAAGCUCGUUAGAGUGCAGGCUGAAAAGGUAGCGAUCGAAGAGAAUAGGGAGACACUAUUUGAGGAUCUGGAGUUUCAAAAAGAACAGGCAGUUAGAUAUACAAAGGAGAUUGAUGCCUACAAAGAUAAACUGGAUGACCGUUACAGGCAGAUAUUGAAGAUUUGUAACGAUGCAAAGGAAAAGGAAAAACAAAUGAUGCUGCAAGUAUCGUAUUGGCAAGGGAAAUACGAGAACGAAAGAAAAGAAAAAGAAGAAAACCGAAGAAAGAAUUCCAGUAUAAAGUUUCGUUCUGGUGAAGCUAAAUUAGAACAAAACAACGUAUGCUGCUCGGUCCCACUUUCAAAGCGGAGACGGCGUGUAUUUUCCCAGUCACCGACUGUUCUACCGAAAUGCAAAAAUUGUAUGACUGUAUUCGACCGGCUGAUGCCUCAUGAAGUUCAGUGUCGUUUCCAUAAGUCAUCACCACAACCAUGGAAGGUAAAAUAUCAGAAGAAACUCAUUAUACAUCAU